rnacentral:rRNA from 1 species
CCUACGGGGUGCAGCAGUGAGGAAUAUUGGUCAAUGGGCGCAAGCCUGAACCAGCCAAGUCGCGUGAGGGAAGACGGCCCUACGGGUUGUAAACCUCUUUUGCCGGGGAGCAAGCCUGAGCACGUGUGCCCAGGCGGAGAGUACCCGGAGAAAAAGCAUCGGCUAACUCCGUGCCAGCAGCCGCGGUAAUACGGAGGAUGCGAGCGUUAUCCGGAUUUAUGGGGUUUAAAGGGUGCGCAGGCGGGCUGUUAAGCCGGCGGUAAAAAUUCAGGGCUCAACCCUGUCGAGCCGUCGGAACUGGCAGCCUUGAGUGGGCGAGAAGUAUGCGGAAUGCGUGGUGUAGCGGUGAAAUGCAUAGAUAUCACGCAGAACGCCGAUUGCGAAGGCAGCAUACCGGCGCCCGACUGACGCUGAGGCACGAAAGCGUGGGGAUCGAACAGGAUUAGAUACCCGGGUAGUC